rnacentral:rRNA from 1 species
AUACGGAGGAUCCGAGCGUUAUCCGGAUCUAUUGGGUUUAAAGGGUGCGCAGGCGGCCAUUUAAGUCAGCGGUUAAAUCGUGGGGCUCAACCCCAUUCUGCCGUUGAUACUGGGUGGCUUGAUUGCGGCCGAGGUUGGCGGAAUUCGUUGUGUAGCGGUGAAAUGCAUAGAUAUGACGAAGAACACCGAUUGCGUAGGCUGCUGACCAAAACGCAAAUGACGCUCAUGCACGAAAGUGCGGGGAUCGAACAGGAUUAGAUACCCUGGUAAGCCGAACAGUAAACGAUGAAUACUUGUUUUCGGCGAUAUACUGUCGGAGGCAAAGCGAAAGCGAUAAGUAUUCCACCUGGGUAGUUCGCUGGCAACGGUGAAACUCCAAUGAAUUGGCGGGG